GGAUGUGAUCAUACCAGCACUAAAGCACCGGAUCCCAUCAGAACUCCGAAGUUAAGCGUGCUUGGGCGAGAGUAGUACUAGGAUGGGUGACCUCCUGGGAAGUCAUCGUGUUGCAUUCC
rnacentral:rRNA from 16 species